AUUGAACGCUGGCGGCAUGCCUUACACAUGCAAGUCGAACGGUAACAGGUCGUCCUUUGCUGACGAGUGUCGAACGGGGGCGUAAUACAUCGGAACGUGCCCGAUCCUUGUGGAUAACGAGGCGCAAGCUUUGCUAAUACCUCAUACGAGCUACGGAUUUAAGCCGGGGAUCUUCGUAGCGCGCGCGGGCUUAGCUGCCGAUGGCAGAUUAGUUAGUUGGUGGGAUAAUAGCUUACCAAGCCGACGAUCUGUAGCGGGUCUGAGAGGAUGAUCAGCCACACUGGGACUGAGACACGGCCCAGACUCCUACGGGAGGCAGCAGUGGGGAAUCUUGGACAAUGGGCGAAAGCCUGAUCCAGCAAUGCCGCGUGAAGGAUGAAGGCCUUCGGGUUGUAAACUGCUUUUGUACGGAAAGAAAAGACUCUUUCUAAUAAAGAGGGGUCAUGACGGUACCGUAAGAAUAAGCACCGGCUAACUACGUG
rnacentral:rRNA from 1 species